rnacentral:rRNA from 1 species
UAAUACGGAGGGUGCGAGCAUUAAUCGGAUUUAUUGGGCGUAAAGGGCGCGUAGGCGGGGACGUAAGUCGGAUGUGAAAUCCCGGGGCUCAACCCCGGAACAGCAUUUGAUACUGCGUUUCUAGAGGGUAGGCGGAGAAAAUGGAAUUCCACAAGUAGCGGUGAAAUGCGUAGAUAUGUGGAAGAACACCGGUGGCGAAGGCGGUUUUCUAGCUUAUACCUGACGCUGAGGCGCGAAAGUAAGGGGAUCAAACAGGAUUAGAUACCCUGGUAGUCCUUACUAUAAACGAUGUAUACUUGGUGUAACCGGACUCAACCCUGGUUGUGCCGUAGCUAACGCGAUAAGUAUACCGCCUGGGGAGUACAGUCGCAAGGCUG